rnacentral:rRNA from 1 species
GACGAACGCUGGCGGCGUGCUUAACACAUGCAAGUCGAACGGUGAAGGUGGGAGCUUGCUCCUGCUGGAUCAGUGGCGAACGGGUGAGUAACACGUGAGUAACCUGCCCUUGACUCUGGGAUAAGCGUUGGAAACGACGUCUAAUACCGGAUACGAGCUUCAGCCGCAUGGCUAGGAGUUGGAAAGAUUUUUCGGUCAAGGAUGGACUCGCGGCCUAUCAGCUUGUUGGUGAGGUAAUGGCUCACCAAGGCGACGACGGGUAGCCGGCCUGAGAGGGUGGCGCGCCACACUGGGACUGGGACACGAGCCAGACUCCGACGGGAGGCAGCAGUGGGGAAUAUGGCACAAUGGGCGCAAGCCUGAUGCAGCAACGCCGCGUGAGGGACGACGGCCUUCGGGUUGUAAACCUCUUUGAGCAGGGAAGAAGCGCAAGUGACGGUACCUGCAGAAAAAGCACCGGCUAACUACGUGCCAGCCGCCGCCGUAAUAC